rnacentral:rRNA from 1 species
CCUACGGGAGGCAGCAGUGAGGCAUAUUGGUCAAUGGCCGGAAGGCUGAACCAGCCACGCCGCGUGAAGGACGACGGUGCCAAGCAUUGUAAGCUUCUUUUGUCACGGGACAGACUGAGGCUCGAGAGCCUGACCGAGGGUACUUGACGCAAAAGCAUCGGCUAAAUCCGUGCCAGCAGCCGCGGUACUACGGAGGAUCGGAGCGUUAUCCGGAUUUCUUGGGUUUAAAGGGAGCGGAGAUGGGUGGUUAAGUCAGUUGUGAAAGUUUGCGGCUCAACCGUAAAAUUGCAAUGGAUUCUGGCAGUCGUGAGUACAGUUGAGGUAGGCGGAAUGCGUGGUGUAGCGGUGAAAUGCGUAGAGAUCACGAAGAACCCCGAUUGCGAAGGCAGCUUACUAAACUGUGACUGACAUUGAUGCUCGAAAGUGUGGGUAUCAAACAGGAUUAGAUACCCGUGUAGUC